UAGGGAAUUUUCGGCAAUGGGGGAAACCCUGACCGAGCAACGCCGCGUGAGCGAAGAAGGCCUUCGGGUCGUAAAGCUCUGUUGUAAAGGAAGAACGUCGCAUGCAGGAAAUGGUGUGCGAGUGACGGUACUUUACCAGAAAGCCACGGCUAACUACGUGCCAGCAGCCGCGGUAAUACGUAGGUGGCGAGCGUUAUCCGGAAUCAUUGGGCGUAAAGAGGGAGCAGGCGGCCGCAAGGGUCUGUGGUGAAAGACCGAAGCUAAACUUCGGUGAGCCAUGGAAACCGGGCGGCUAGAGUGCGGAAGAGGAUCGUGGAAUUCCAUGUGUAGCGGUGAAAUGCGUAGAUAUAUGGAGGAACACCAGUGGCGAAGGCGACGGUCUGGGCCGCAACUGACGCUCAUUCCCGAAAGCGUGGGGAGCAAAUAGG
rnacentral:rRNA from 1 species